GAACGCUGGCGGCAGGCUUAACACAUGCAAGUCGAGCGGUAACAGGGGGAGCUUGCUCCCNGCUGACGAGCGGCGGACGGGUGAGUAAUGCAUAGGAAACUGCCCAGUAGUGGGGGAUAGCCCGGGGAAACCCGGAUUAAUACCGCAUACGCCCUUUGGGGGAAAGCAGGGGAUCUUCGGACCUUGCGCUAUUGGAUGUGCCUAUGUCGGAUUAGCUAGUUGGUGGGGUAAGAGCCUACCAAGGCGACGAUCCGUAGCUGGUCUGAGAGGAUGAUCAGCCACAUCGGGACUGAGACACGGCCCGAACUCCUACGGGAGGCAGCAGUGGGGAAUAUUGGACAAUGGGGGCAACCCUGAUCCAGCCAUGCCGCGUGUGUGAAGAAGGCUUUCGGGUUGUAAAGCACUUUCAGUGAGGAGGAAAACCUUACGACUAAUACUCGUGAGGCUUGACGUUACUCACAGAAGAAGCACCGGCUAACUCCGUGCCAGCAGCCGCGGUAAUACGGAGGGUGCAAGCGUUAAUCGGAAUUACUGGGCGUAAAGCGCGCGUAGGUGGUUUGAUAAGCGAGAUGUGAAAGCCCCGGGCUCAACCUGGGAACG
rnacentral:rRNA from 1 species